GGCUGGUCCGAAGGUAGUGAGUUAUCUCACUUGAUUGUUCACAGUCAGUUACAGAUUGAACUCCUUGUUCUACUGCUUUCCCCCCCUCCUCACUACUGCACUUGACUAGUCUAAA
rnacentral:Y_RNA from 1 species